CCAAAGUUGGGGACAGAAACGUGCAUCAGAUUCAGGAAAAGGCUUGGAGACUCACUCCUUUUCUUGAUAUUUUAACUGGGAAAUGGAAUAAAGAUCAACUUUUAGAUGUUAUCGGAGUGGUUGAUGAAAUUGGGUACACACAGGCCCAGGUUGGAAGUAAAAAGCAACAGGUCAACUUUGUCAUUCGCGACUUGAGCAACAACACUAUAACGGUUACGUUAUGGGAGGCGUACGCGGUGCAGUUUAUCAACUACGUUGAACGGCAUGUCGAUACUGCCAUUCCGGUUGUGAUUCUGAUUCAAUAUGCAAAAGUCAAAGAAGAUUUU